UGCCAAGAAGUAAUCCGGCUUCUGGGAUGGAUCGUCCCACUCUACAACAUGACCGUUGCCAGCUGCUGUGCGUAAGUGUUGGUU